GCAGCCCCAGAGUGUAACCUUGCCUUGGUUUUCUCAAUAUCAGGUGACAAGAGGCCAGGAAGAAUAAAAUAAUAGAGCCGGCAAAAUACUCCUGAGUGCCAUUGUCCAGCCAUUUUCAAAAAGGAGGAAUUCUCCUCAACAUGGCAUACUUCAAAUGCUCAGCAGAUCAGGCAGAGUGAAGAGGAAAAGGCCACACCACAGAGCAAGGUGAGCUGCUGUACCUGAAAAUCCAGAGGGAAUCUGAGGGCUUGCAUUGCUCAUCUCAGUGCUUUUGGACAAGGGCAGAGGAUUUGCUCUCGCUGCUUUGAGUGGUGCCUGCCUGUCUCCCUGGAGUGUGAGAUUGUGUGGUUAAGAAUGCCUGACAUCUCACUGCUGUGCAUGAGGGGCAAAAGCUGUGUCUGGGCCAUGUUUUCAAGCUGACAAUGCAAAGAAUGGAUGAAAUGAGACAAAUCAAAAAGCUGCUCCAUCAAAACUCUCUCAGUCUAGUGGGGGAUCCUGCAUGGAUGGAAGGGAGCAGAAAAAGGGCCAAAGUAUUUGAGCAGCCUUGGAAUUGCUCCCUACUCCUCUUCCUGUUCCUGAGGCUGGGGACAAUACAUUUACACCAAAUGGUGUUCUCUCUAAAGGAAAACUAAAUGGGGUGUGAAGAACAAUUCAAGUCCCUGGGGAAAUACAAGGAGACUAAAUCAGAUUGAGCAUGUCAAAACCAUCUCAGGUGAUAGAAUUAUAGGAGAACAAGGAAGGAUGUAGACAAAUAUGGGAAGGAAAAAUAGGUGCUGAGUGCUUUGAAGCCUCCUGCAUCAAUCCAGUGGAGACCAAGGGCAUCCUGACCUUCCCAGGAAGCUGCUUGGAUUUGUCCUCAGGGUCUUCAGAAACCAAAACUAAAAAAGACCCAGACAGUAAAAAUAAGGGCUGAGUUAUUCUGACUGUAUACUAAAUGAUGCUCCUAGCCCAGAAUUUGGUGAAAAAGCAGAUGUCACGUUCCACUGUGGGAAAGGUGAUGAGUUCUUUUAAAUGAUCCAGAACUGAGAUCACUAUUAUUUGUAGCCAUGACUGGGAGCAAAUGGAACUAAACAACUGUAAGAAAUGAAUUGCCAGUGAAUUGUGUCCCUUUUUAGUGGAGUGUCUCAAGAUCUACAUAUAUUUAAAGUUCCACUUCCUUCGUGGUCUUUGCACUGGUGCAAAUUUUCUAUCAGAGCCA